GUUUUUGGAGACCUGAUGUGCUCAUAACCCAGGUUCUUCAUUUCACACCAGUCAGAGCAACAGGAGCUAAGCUGAAGCAGAGGGAAAUCAAGGCAGAGAAAGAGAGAGCAUACUUUAUUAUAAGCAAUUGGCUCAAAUGGUGUGGAACAUGGCAAAUCUGAAAUACGUAGGCCAAGUUGGCUGCUUAGAAAUUGAGAGAUCAAAAGAUUUAUUGUUACUGGAGAAGGAACGGCAGGAUUCAAUUAUGACUGAGAUGAAAGACCCUGGGAACAGAGUA